rnacentral:lncRNA from 1 species
GUUGCCCUGCCUUCUUGUUUGUCUAGAUAUAUGAAAGAAAUGACUUGGAAAAUUACUUAAAAAGUAAUUUAAGGUAUAAGAUGAUAUUCUCCAAUAAAAGAUUUUCAUCUGCUUCUGCCAGGUUCCUGGCAUUCUGUGACCACCUUUGUUUUAUUUCAGACUGGACAGCCGGCACCACCCCAUGAUUCAAGGAUGGCCAUAGCCCAGUGCAGGAGCAGAUUUGCUUCCAGUUUGCCCUUCCUCCUAGCUGAACUCCAGGCUCCAGCCCAGAGAAGCAAGAAAAGAGCA